ACAAGCGGUGGAGCAUGUGGUUAAUUCGACGCAACGCGAAGAACCUUACCAGGGCUUGACAUCCCCUGACCGCGUAUGAAAGUACGUUUUCACCUUCGGGAGACAGGGAGACAGGUGGUGCAUGGUUGUCGUCAGCUCGUGUCGUGAGAUGUUGGGUUAAGUCCCGCAACGAGCGCAACCUCUACGUUUAGUUGCUAACGCGUGAAGGCGAGCACUCUAGACGAACUGCCGUUGACAAAACGGAGGAAGGUGGGGAUGACGUCAAAUCAUCAUGCCCCUUAUGUUCUGGGCUACACACGUGCUACAAUGGCCGGUACAGACGGACGCAAAGCCGCGAGGUGGAGCAAAUCCUAAAAAGCCGGUCUCAGUUCGGAUUGCAGGCUGCAAUUCGCCUGCAUGAAGUCGGAAUCGCUAGUAAUCGCAGGUCAGCAUACUGCGGUGAAUACGUUCCCGGGCCUU
rnacentral:rRNA from 1 species